rnacentral:rRNA from 1 species
AUUGAACGCUGGCGGCAGGCCUAACACAUGCAAGUCGAGCGGAGCGGCGGACGGGUGAGUAAUGCCUAGGAAUCUGCCUGGUAGUGGGGGAUAACGUCCGGAAACGGGCGCUAAUCCCGCAUACUAUCAGAUCAGCCUAGGUCGGAUUAGCGAGUUGGUGGGGUAAAGGCCUACCAAGGCGACGAUCCGUAACUGGUCUGAGAGGAUGAUCAGGCAAACUGGAACUGAGACACGGUCCAGACGCCUACGGGAGGCAGCAGUGGGGAAUAUUGGACAAUGGGCGAAAGCCUGAUCCAGCCAUGCCGCGUGUGUGAAGAAGGUCUUCGGAUUGUAAAGCACUUUAAGUUGGGAGGCGUUACCAACAGAAUAAGCACCGGCUAACUUCGUGCCAGCCGCCGCGGUAAUAC